GCUAAAAAUCUAGCCCCACCAAAUAUUUUAUAAACACUAAUUUUUUACUACAUUAAUUAAAACAUUCUAUUGAUCAAGUAAAGGAGAUUAAAAAAUUUCUAGGAGCAAUAUAUGAAGUACCGCAAGGGAAAGAUGAAAUAAAAAUGAAAUCAACAAGCACAAAAAAGUAGAGACUAUCACUCGUACCUUUUGCAUCAUGAUCUAACUAGUUAAACCAAGCAAAAAGACUUUUAGUUUGACCUCCCGAAACUAAGCGAGCUACUUCAAGGCAGCUUUAUGAGCAACCCCAUCUCUGUUGCAAAAGAGUGGGAAGACCUUCAAGUAGGGGUGACAGACCUAACGAGCUUAGUGAUAGCUGGUUACUUAAGAAAAGGAUUUUAGUCCCACCCAAUGUUAAAAUUGUACCAACAAACAUCUAUCGUAACUUUGGAGUAAUUCAAAUAAGGUACAGCCUAUUUGAAACAGGAUACAACCUAAAUAAACGGGUAAUAAAAGCUUCUACCACAAUUAAGUAGGCCUAAAAGCAGCCAUCUUUUAAAAAGCGUCAAAGCUUAAUUUUGAGAAAGCAAAAUCUCAUUAAUUUUUUAAAACCCUUAUUUUAUAUUAAGUAUUUUUAUACAUCUAUAAAACGUAUUAUGUUAGAAUUAGUAACAAGAAGAAGACCUUCUCUAAAAUGUAAGUGUAAAUCAGAAAGGACACACCACUGAUAAUUAACACUGCUGAAAACAAAGUAGUAACUUCACAAGAAAAUUCUACUAAAUUAAUUGUUAAUCUAACACAAGCACAUUAUAAGAAAGAUUAAAAGAAAAAGAAGGAACUCGGCAAAUUUUAACCUCGCCUGUUUACCAAAAACAUCGCCUCUUGUUAAAUAAUAAGAGGUCCAGCCUGCCCAGUGACCCUGUUAAACGGCCGCGGUAUCCUAACCGUGCGAAGGUAGCGUAAUCAUUUGUUCUUUAAAUAAGGACUCGUAUGAAUGGCAUCACGAGGGUUAUACUGUCUCCUUUUUUCAAUCAGUGAAAUUGAUCUUCCCGUGAAGAAGCGGGAAUAAUUUUAUAAGACGAGAAGACCCUAUGGAGCUUUAAAUUAACCUCAUUCGCUUUAUUGUUGUAAAAUUUAUGAAAAUUAAAAUAAACCUUGGCGAUCUGAUGGAAUAUUUUAGGUUGGGGUGACCGCGGAGAAUAACUCAUCCUCCGCACUGAAUAAGACUAUAUCUUUAGCUGAAAAUUACAAUUUAACGCAUCAAUAAAUUGACAUUAUUGACCCAAUAUUUUGAACAAUGAACCAAGUUACCCUAGGGAUAACAGCGCAAUCCACUUCAAGAGCCCCUAUCGACAAGUGGGUUUACGACCUCGAUGUUGGAUCAGGGUAUCCAAGUGGUGCAGCCGCUACUAACGGUUCGUUUGUUCAACGAUUAAAACCCU
rnacentral:rRNA from 1 species